rnacentral:rRNA from 1 species
GACGAACGUUGGCGGCGUGCCUAAUACAUGCAAGUCAACUGAAGCAGCGGUAGCAAUCUCGCUGUGGAGGUGGCGCACGGGUGAGUAAUACGUAGGUAAUCUGCCUUCAGUUCUGGCAUAACUCCGGGAAACCGGGGCUACUAGCAGAUGAUGCAGUUGCUCGACAUCGAGACAGUUGUUAAAACUAUGUCGCCCGAAGAUGAGCCUGCGUCUCGUUAGCUAGUUGGCGGGGUAACGGCCCACCAAGGCACCGAUCAGUAGCUGGUCUGAGAGGAUGAUCAGCCACACUGGAACUGAGACGCGGUCCAGACUCCUCCGCGGGGCAGCAUUAAGGGAUAUUGGUCAAUGGGAGAAAGCCUGAAGCAGCAUCGCCGCGUGAGGUACGAGGAGCGUAUGCUUGUAAUACUCGGUAGUGAGAGAAAAAAAUCCCAAUCUUUGGGACAUGACGGUAUCUAAAAAGUAAGCCCCGGCUAACUACGUG